rnacentral:rRNA from 1 species
UACGGAGGGUGCAAGCGUUAUCCGGAAUCACUGGGUUUAAAGGGUGCGUAGGCGGCGUUGUAAGUCAGAGGUGAAAGGCACGAGCUUAACUGGUGAAUUGCCUUUGAUACUGCAGUGCUUGAAUUAGGUUGAGGUUAGCGGAAUGUGACAUGUAGCGGUGAAAUGCAUAGAUAUGUCAUAGAACACCAAUUGCGUAGGCAGCUAGCUAGGCUUUAAUUGACGCUGAGGCACGAAAGCGUGGGGAGCGAACAGG